rnacentral:rRNA from 1 species
UACGUAGGGGGCAAGCGUUGUCCGGAUUUAUUGGGCGUAAAGAGCGUGUAGGCGGCUUUACAGGUCCGUUGUGAAAACUCGAGGCUCAACCUCGAGACGCCGGUGGAAACCGUAAGGCUAGAGUCCGGAAGAGGAGAGUGGAAUUCCUGGUGUAGCGGUGAAAUGCGCAGAUAUCAGGAAGAACACCCGUGGCGAAGGCGGCUCUCUGGGACGGUACUGACGCUGAGACGCGAAAGCGUGGGGGAGCAAACAGG